rnacentral:lncRNA from 1 species
UGCCAUUCAUUCCAACAGGAGUGGGGUUGUGUUAUCUAUCUGGGAGCCCGUGGAGGGCUCCUUAGGAAGAAUUCAUCCCUGCACACCGUGUUUAUCCAUAACGUAGCACAAGUGCUGUGUUCCCCUCCCCAGGUCUGUGCUGAGGGCAGAGGCUGUGCCAGCACGGCACUCUGGUUCUGGCUCUCUGCAUGCUGCCAAAGCCAUCUAGGUUGCCCCUGUGACACCAACAAGCGAGGCGGAUGCUGACAAAUUCCUCUCUCAAUUUUUAGUUGCUUUGGCUUCACUAUGGGGAAGCAGUUGUGUGCCUCUCCCCAGGCCAAGGGGAGCAGUGCUGCAGGCUGAGAGCCACAGGGGUUGGGGCAACGAGGGGCUGUCCUAAGCACACGUGCAGUAAGUGCUUCUACAUCCCGGUUAGAAAAGAAGACGAAACCGAAGUUAAAAAUAAACCCCAUCUGAUCUGCAGCACUUCUGUCUUCCCUCGAUGAGCGGUUCCAGCACCAGCUUGGCGAGGAGGGACCCGCAGACAGAUCGGGGAACUGACGAGCAGAGGAGCGGAAGGGAAGGGCUGACGGGAGCUUCACGCAGAGCUCAGGGGCAGAGAACAGAGCCCGCUCCCCCCGCCGGCAGGGCUGCUUUCCAUCACUGCCGUCAUUCUGCACACCAACGUGGGAAGGAGUGA